CGUUGAUAAGCAGUCUGUCCCUUUUGCAAAGGCUUUUUGCAGUUUGCACAUGUAACUUUAACCUGUUUAGACGGCGGUGGCUGCUGAGUAGAAGGCUGGAAGAUCUGCUUGGGUAGUGAUGCUACUGGUGAUAAAGAAUCCACACCUGGUUGCUUUUGAUUCCUAGGGAACGAAGCUGACUGGGAUAUCCAAGAAUCAGGAUUAUGAUGAGUCACAGAUUCUCCAUUUUGAAAUACAUCGCCAGCCACAUUCAUUCUACCAGGAUUGAAAGGUCCUACACCAGUCUUGGUCUGUGAAGUUAAAGAUGGGGUGUAUGUUUGCAUAUUAACACCAAAAUUACUUGACUGCAGUCCGUUAGAUACAUCUCCCAAGUUGGCAUUCUGCAAUGAUGUUACAUGCGUAAUCAUUAAGUUCAUGUCACGCCCUUCAUCAUUUUCUACAUGACCAUCGCUCACAGAGCUCAUAGCACCUGUUUCUAAUGUAGUUACAUUAGCAAUCUGAAUGUCAGAGUCUGGUUCUGUGGAUAUACCACUAUUAUCAAUUCCUGAAUUUACCUUACUUCUUGAAAAACUGGAAGCUGAGAAAUCCAUAUCGUUGGCUCUGUUUUUACACUCUGGAAGUCUUCGCUCAUUAAAACCGGAAGCAUUCUUCUCUUGUCCUUGAUUUGUUUCAAUAUCUUCUUCAUCAUCAAUAAUAAUAGUUUCACUUAUACUCCCC
rnacentral:lncRNA from 1 species